UUGCACGCUGGCGGCAUGCCUUACACAUGCAAGUCGAACGGUAACAGGUCUUCGGAUGCUGACGAGUGGCGAACGGGUGAGUAAUACAUCGGAACGUGCCCAGACGUGGGGGAUAACGAGGCGAAAGCUUUGCUAAUACCGCAUACGAUCUAAGGAUGAAAGCAGGGGACCGCAAGGCCUUGCGCGUUUGGAGCGGCCGAUGGCAGAUUAGGUAGUUGGUGAGAUAAAAGCUUACCAAGCCGACGAUCUGUAGCUGGUCUGAGAGGACGACCAGCCACACUGGGACUGAGACACGGCCCAGACUCCUACGGGAGGCAGCAGUGGGGAAUUUUGGACAAUGGGCGAAAGCCUGAUCCAGCAAUGCCGCGUGCAGGAUGAAGGCCUUCGGGUUGUAAACUGCUUUUGUACGGAACGAAAAGGCUCUGGCUAAUACCUGGGGCACAUGACGGUACCGUAAGAAUAAGCACCGGCUAACUACGUG
rnacentral:rRNA from 1 species